UACGGGGGGGGCAAGCGUUGUUCGGAAUUACUGGGCGUAAAGGGCUCGUAGGCGGCCAACUAAGUCCGACGUGAAAUCCCCAGGCUUAACCUGGGAACUGCGUCGGAUACUGGAUGGCUUGAAUCCGGGAGAGGGAUGUGGAAUUCCAGGUGUAGCGGUGAAAUGCGUAGAUAUCUGGAGGAACACCGGUGGCGAAGGCGGCAUCCUGGACCGGUAUUGACGCUGAGGAGCGAAAGCCAGGGGAGCAAACGGG
rnacentral:rRNA from 1 species